rnacentral:rRNA from 1 species
UGGGGAAUAUUGCACAAUGGGCGCAAGCCUGAUGCAGCCAUGCCGCGUGUAUGAAGAAGGCCUUCGGGUUGUAAAGUACUUUCAGCGAGGAGGAAGGCGUUGUGGUUAAUAACCGCAGCGAUUGACGUUACUCGCAGAAGAAGCACCGGCUAACUCCGUGCCAGCAGCCGCGGUAAUACGGAGGGUGCAAGCGUUAAUCGGAAUUACUGGGCGCAAAGCGCACGCAGGCGGUCUGUCAAGUCGGAUGUGAAAUCCCCGGGCUCAACCUGGGAACUGCAUCCGAAACUGGCAGGCUAGAGUCUUGUAGAGGGGGGUAGAAUUCCAGGUGUAGCGGUGAAAUGCGUAGAGAUCUGGAGGAAUACCGGUGGCGAAGGCGGCCCCCUGGACAAAGACUGACGCUCAGGUGCGAAAGCGUGGGGAGCAAACA